UGGGUAGGGGAGCGUUCUGUAAGCCUGUGAAGGUGGCCUGUGAGGGUUGCUGGAGGUAUCAGAAGUGCGAAUGCUGACAUAAGUAACGAUAAAGCGGGUGAAAAGCCCGCUCGCCGGAAGACCAAGGGUUCCUGUCCAACGUUAAUCGGGGCAGGGUGAGUCGACCCCUAAGGCGAGGCCGAAAGGCGUAGUCGAUGGGAAACGGGUUAAUAUUCCCGUACUUGGUGUUACUGCGAAGGGGGGACGGAGAAGGCUAUGUUGGCCGGGCGACGGUUGUCCCGGUUUAAGCGUGUAGGUGUGUGUUCCAGGUAAAUCCGGUUCACUUUAACACUGAGGCGUGAUGACGAGGCACUACGGUGCUGAAGCAACAAAUGCCCUGCUUCCAGGAAAAGCCUCUAAGCAUCAGGUAACAUCAAAUCGUACCCCAAACCGACACAGGUGGUCAGGUAGAGAAUACCAAGGCGCUUGAGAGAACUCGGGUGAAGGAACUAGGCAAAAUGGUGCCGUAACUUCGGGAGAAGGCACGCUGACACGUAGGUGAAGUGAUUUACUCACGGAGCUGAAGUCAGUCGAAGAUACCAGCUGGCUGCAACUGUUUAUUAAAAACACAGCACUGUGCAAACACGAAAGUGGACGUAUACGGUGUGACGCCUGCCCGGUGCCGGAAGGUUAAUUGAUGGGGUCAGCGCAAGCGAAGCUCCUGAUCGAAGCCCCGGUAAACGGCGGCCGUAACUAUAACGGUCCUAAGGUAGCGAAAUUCCUUGUCGGGUAAGUUCCGACCUGCACGAAUGGCGUAAUGAUGGCCAGGCUGUCUCCACCCGAGACUCAGUGAAAUUGAACUCGCUGUGAAGAUGCAGUGUACCCGCGGCAAGACGGAAAGACCCCGUGAACCUUUACUAUAGCUUGACACUGAACAUUGAGCCUUGAUGUGUAGGAUAGGUGGGAGGCUUUGAAGUGUGGACGCCAGUCUGCAUGGAGCCGACCUUGAAAUACCACCCUUUAAUGUUUGAUGUUCUAACGUGGACCCGUAAUCCGGGUUGCGGACAGUGUCUGGUGGGUAGUUUGACUGGGGCGGUCUCCUCCUAAAGAGUAACGGAGGAGCACGAAGGUUGGCUAAUCCUGGUCGGACAUCAGGAGGUUAGUGCAAUGGCAUAAGCCAGCUUGACUGCGAGCGUGACGGCGCGAGCAGGUGCGAAAGCAGGUCAUAGUGAUCCGGUGGUUCUGAAUGGAAGGGCCAUCGCUCAACGGAUAAAAGGUACUCCGGGGAUAACAGGCUGAUACCGCCCAAGAGUUCAUAUCGACGGCGGUGUUUGGCACCUCGAUGUCGGCUCAUCACAUCCUGGGGCUGAAGUAGGUCCCAAGGGUAUGGCUGUUCGCCAUUUAAAGUGGUACGCGAGCUGGGUUUAGAACGUCGUGAGACAGUUCGGUCCCUAUCUGCCGUGGGCGCUGGAGAACUGAGGGGGGCUGCUCCUAGUACGAGAGGACCGGAGUGGACGCAUCACUGGUGUUCGGGUUGUCAUGCCAAUGGCACUGCCCGGUAGCUAAAUGCGGAAGAGAUAAGUGCUGAAAGCAUCUAAGCACGAAACUUGCCCCGAGAUGAGUUCU
rnacentral:rRNA from 3 species